rnacentral:tRNA from 2 species
GUUGCGGUGGCCGAGUGGUUAAGGCGUUGGACUUGAAAUCCUAUGGGAUCUUCCCGCGCAGGUUCGAAUCCUGCCCGCAACG